GAUCUGGCUCAGGACGAACGCUGGCGGCGUGCUUAACACAUGCAAGUCGAACGAGAAUCACUGGAAGGAGUUUUCGGACAACGGAAGGUGAGGACAGUGGCGGACGGGGUGAGUAACGCGUGAGGAACCUGCCUUUUCAGAGGGGGGACAACAGUUGGAAACGACUGCUAAUACCGCAUGACACAUAGAGAUCGCAUGGUUUUUAUGUCAAAGAUUUAUCGCUGAAAGAUGGCCUCGCGU
rnacentral:rRNA from 1 species